rnacentral:rRNA from 1 species
AGCGAACGCUGGCGGCAGGCCUAACACAUGCAAGUCGAACGGACCUUUCGGGGUUAGUGGCGGACGGGUGAGUAACACGUGGGAACGUGCCUUUAGGUUCGGAAUAGCUCCUGGAAACGGGUGGUAAUGCCGAAUGUGCCCUUCGGGGGAAAGAUUUAUCGCCUUUAGAGCGGCCCGCGUCUGAUUAGCUUGUUGGUGGGGUAAUGGCUCACCAAGGCGACGAUCAGUAGCUGGUAUGAGAGGAUGACCAGCCACAUUGGUACUGAGACACGGCCCAAACUCCUACGGGAGGCAGCAGUGGGGAAGCUUGCGCAAUGGGCGAAAGCCUGACGCAGCCAUGCCGCGUGGAUGAUGAAGGUCUUAGGAUUGUAAAAUCCUUUCACCGGUGAAGAUAAUGACUGUAGCCGGAGAAGAAGCCCCGGCUAACUUCGUGCCAGCCGCCGCGGUAAAAC